UACGUAGGUGGCGAGCGUUGUCCGGAUUUACUGGGCGUAAAGAGCGCGCAGGCGGUCGUACAAGUCGCGUGUGAAAGCCCCUGGCUCAACUGGGGAGGGUCACGCGAUACUGUUCGACUCGAAGGCAGGAGAGGGAAGUGGAAUUCCGGUGUAGCGGUGUAAAUGCGUAGAUAUCGGGAGGAACACCAGUGGCGAAGGCGACUUUCUGGGACAUUCCUGACGCUGAGGUAGCGAAAGCGUGGGAGCAACGGG
rnacentral:rRNA from 1 species